ACAAAAGAGUGUCAGGGUUGUACACGUUAAAACAGGUUGGUGGCUACUAAUAGUGAAACGUUCAUAAUCAUUCGGCGUAAAGAAUUUGGAAAGUAACUAGUGUAACUUAGGGAUAACAAUGGUGUUUAUCGGGCGACUGUAUAGCAAAUACACAGGUACUAGUUUCAGAUGUUUAUAUUUUAGAGCUGAUAUGUGACCAGU
rnacentral:rRNA from 1 species